CCAAAAAAAAACUCUGAAUUUUCGUAUCCAAUUUUAACUGUUCGUCUUAUAUAAAUUUUUUUAUAAUUCGUAUUUUUUAUUGUUGUUAGAUGAUAAAAAUAUGAUUAAUAUUUUAUACGUGACUUGUCUUUUUAAUUUUUUUUCAUAAUUUUUUCAAAUAAGAUGAACAGUCAAACGUUAGGCAUAGAAACCAUGGUUUAUCUUUUU
rfam:Oryza sativa (indica cultivar-group) chromosome 11, whole genome shotgun sequence.